AUUGAACGCUGGCGGUAUGCUUAACACAUGCAAGUCGAACGGCAGCAUGGUCUAGCUUGCUAGACUGAUGGCGAGUGGCGGACGGGUGAGUAACGCGUAGGAAUAUGCCUUGAAGAGUGGGACAACUUGGGGAAACUCAAGCUAAUACCGCAUGUACUCGAGAGAGUAAAGCUGGGGACCUUUAGGCCUGGCGCUUUAAGAUUAUCCUGCGUCCGAUUAGCUAGUUGGUAGGGUAAAGGCCUAACAAGGCGACGAUCGGUAGCUGGUCUGAGAGGAUGAUCAGCCACACUGGAACUGAGAGACGGUCCAGACUCCUACGGGAGGCAGCAGUGGGGAAUAUUGGACAAGGGGGGGAACCCUGAUCCAGCAAUGCCGCGUGUGUGAAGAAGGCCUGAGGGUUGUAAAGCACUUUCAGUGGGGAGGAGGUUUGGAAGGUUAAGAGCUAUUCAAAUGGACGUUACCCACAGAAGAAGCACCGGCUAACUCCGUGCCAGCCGCCGCCGUAA
rnacentral:rRNA from 1 species